UACGGGAGGCAGCAGGCGCGAAAACUCCGCAAUGCUCGAAAGAGUGACGGGGGGAUUCCAAGUGCCUACGCUCAGCGUAGGCUGUUCAGAUGCCUAAAAGGCAUCUGGAGUAAGGGCUGGGUAAGACGGGUGCCAUCUGCAGUGGUAGCGAAAGAUUUGGCUUGCUACUGCAAGGCAUAAGCCGCCGCGGUAAUACCCGCAGCUCGAGUGGUAGUCGAUUUUAUUGGGCCUAAAGCGUCCGUAUCCGGUCUGGUAAAUGCUUGGGUAAAUCGUCUGGCUUAACCAGACGAAUUCCGGGUAGACUACCAGACUUGGGACCGGUUGAGGAAGAGGGUACUUCAGGGGUAGGAGUGAAAUCCUGUAAUCCUUGAAGGACCACCAGUGGCGAAGGCGCUCUUCUAGGACGGGUCCGACGGUGAGGGACGAAAGCCAGGGGAGCAAACCGGAUUAGAUACCCGGGUAGUCCUGGCCGUAAACGAUGUGGGCUUGGCAUUGGGGGUUCUACGUGAGCGCCCAGUGU
rnacentral:rRNA from 1 species